rnacentral:rRNA from 1 species
UACGUAGGUGGCAAGCGUUGUUCGGAAUCACUGGGCUUAAAGCGUGUGUAGGUGGAUGCCUAAGUACCUUGUGAAAUCCCACGGCUUAACCGUGGAACUGCUGGGUAUACUGGGCGUCUUGAGCCACUCAGGGGCUACCGGAACAAGCGGUGGAGCGGUGAAAUGCGUAGAUAUCGCUUGGAACGCCAAUGGUGAAAACAGGUAGCUGGGGGUGUGCUGACACUGAGACACGAAAGCCAGGGGAGCAAACGGG